rnacentral:tRNA from 1 species
AUCUUUCUAGUAUAAUAAAAGUAUAAGUGACUUCCAAUCACCCGGUCCUGGUUUAAACCCAGGGAAAGAUA